CCUACGUGGGGCAGCAGUGAGGCAUAUUUGUCAAUGGACGAGAGUCUGAACCAGCCAAGUCGCGUGAAGGAUGACUGCCCUAUGGGUUGUAAACUUCUUUUAUCUGGGAAUAAAAUGUUCCACGUGUGGGAUUUUGUAUGUACCAUAUGAAUAAGUAUCGGCUAACUCCUUGCCAGCAGCCGCGGUAAUACGGAGGAUCCGAGCGUUAUCCGGAUUUAUUGGGUUUAAAGGGAGCGUAGGUGGAUUGUUAAGUCAGUUGUGAAAGUUUGCGGCUCAACCGUAAAAUUGCAGUUGAAACGGGCAGUAUGGGUAACAAUAGAGGUGGGUGGUAUGCGGGGUUGAGCGGUAAAA
rnacentral:rRNA from 1 species